GCCAGACUCCUACGGGAGGCAGCAGUGGGGAAUAUUGCACAAUGGGGGAAACCCUGAUGCAGCAACGCCGCGUGAGUGAAGAAGUAUUUCGGUAUGUAAAGCUCUAUCAGCAGGGAAGAAGAUGACGGUACCUGAUUAAGAAGCCCCGGCUAACUACGUGCCAGCAGCCGCGGUAAUACGUAGGGGGCAAGCGUUAUCCGGAUUUACUGGGUGUAAAGGGAGCGUAGACGGCAUGGCAAGUCUGAAGUGAAAGCCCGGGGCUCAACCGCGGGACUGCUUUGGAAACUGUUAAGCUGGAGUGCAGGAGAGGUAAGUGGAAUUCCUAGUGUAGCGGUGAAAUGCGUAGAUAUUAGGAGGAACACCAGUGGCGAAGGCGGCCUGCUGGACUGUAACUGACGUUGAGGCUCGAAAGCGUGGGGAGCAAACAGGAUUAGAUACCCCAGUA
rnacentral:rRNA from 1 species